rnacentral:lncRNA from 1 species
AGGUCACCUUGAGCAUUAGGGUCAAAGGGAUGAAUUAUACGGUAACUAUACGCCAGUAGGUUCUAGAAGGUUGCUUUGCAAUACUUUGACCUAUCCGAUCAUCGGGUCACUAUUGCUAGAUGGUUACAUCGAUUGAUAUAGAAAGUUAUUCCUAUUCUACCAACCUAGAUUUGAACCUAUGAGGACACAUGCAUUAGAAGAUUUGAUUAGAUCAGAUGGCUGAAAAGUCCAAUUGGAUCGUGACUCUGGUGAAGAGUCCUAUUCGGACU